GGGUCUGUGAGGCUCAGGCCUUGCCCCAGGUUGGCAUGGCAGGAUUCCCUCCAUGGCCUGCAGCCUCCAGUGCAUAAGAUGGAUGUGUCCCAGCCCAUAUGGAUGUGGUGGGCCCAGAGACCAGAUGUCAGCGCAUUGAUUACAUGCCUGGAAAAGCACAGGGGCCUCCCAGGGACUCCUCCUGGGUACUGGUGUCUAUGACUACUAUAAAAGGAAUUGUUCACACGCUGGCGAGAAAACAAGAAUCCCUUUUUGUGAAAAGUAACUUGGCUUCACCUUUGGUUUCCAUUCAACAUCCAAUGCAACUGAAGCGUUCUCCACUGUAAACAGAGCAUAAGCAGAGCAAACACUUUAAUCUGGAUCUUCUACAUUUUUUGAGAUUGGGCAGAUUUAAGGAGCUCCUUUCAAGCUGGGCUGGGCUGAGAUCAUCUCACUGUGGUCUCUGCAGCAAGGAGUGCUGACUUCCUUCUCGAUUCCCACCUUGAACAGACAUCCUCAUGUUUCCCUUAUGAACUAAUCAGCUUUGGUUUCGGUAAGACAGCCUGGAAAGGCUGGGGAGCUGGCUCAGACUUUGUAAACCCAGGAAUGCCACAGACAGAAUAGCUGUACAUCUAGCAGUAUUUUCUCCCGUACUGAGGAGACGGGCACGCUUUACGGUUAUUCCCGACUUCAGCAAUACUCAUUUAUGACAGAAUGUCUCCUGGAUCCUACCAGCUUAUUUACAGUGUCCACCAUCUAGAAACUUCAUGAGGUGUACUCCAACACCUCAAAAAAGCCUGACUAUAUAAUGUUACCAAUCUUUAAAAAAAUAAUAACAAUAACGGAAUGAAAUUAAAAAUAAUAAUUUUUCCAACAACUCAGCAAGAGCUGGGAAGCUGUGAGCUUUGCUCAGAGAGAAAAUAAUUCAUGAACAGUCUUUUAUAGGGAACAUGCAAAAAAUUGUUUAAAAUGAGAGAAAAACAUGAAGUGCUGAAUGUGUAUUGCAAGAGCUGGAAUAGGGUUGGAAGUAGGACAGAUAGACAGAAGCCCUAGACUUUUCCACAGGUUUUUUGAAGCAUAUGUCAUUAGCUACUCGGUCAACGUAAUCACAGGUCUUGCUGCUGCAGGAAUGUUUAUUAGAGAAAUGUAAGAAUCUUGUAUCUGAUUAGGUCCAGUAAGGAAAUAUUCCUUUUUCCUCCCCUCUCCCUCCCUCCAUCCCUUUAGCUUUUUUCCUCAUCUCCUGUGACUGCAACCCAUGACCUUCACAAGAAAAGGCCUGUGCUUUGAUAGCAGGCUGCAAGCCCCCAAGGACCAGCACAGCUUUCUGGGAGAAAAAAAAAAAAAAAAACUGUUGCCUUGCUCAGAAUCCAAUCGAAAUCUGAAUGUGCCAAGGAAAAAAAUAAACCAAGGACAUUAUUCCAUCUCAUUGUGAUUUGGCUUGCCUUCAAAUCACAUACCCAGUAUAUCUGAAAUAGCAGCAACGCCUCCAUUAGCUGAGCCUUCCAGCACUUUAAUCAAAGUAUCUUUCAGAAUAAAGAGGCAGAAAUGUCAAAUUCCAAUCACCCUUUAAAUUCCUCCAAUUCCCUGCACUACACAAAAUUAAAAGCCUUACGCGUGGCUAAUUUCCCUUACAAGUGCGUGUGCACGCAGGCACUCAGCAGAGGUGGCGGGCAUCCAUUUUAGAUGCAGCAAGGCCCCAAGGGGCAUGGCAAAGAGGGCAGGCCUCUGGUGGGCACUGCAGACCCACAGUCACACGCUGGCAGCCCUGACAUCUCACAUGGGAUGGUAGCCUCCGCACUGUGCAGGAAACAUGCAUUUGGCGUCUUCCAUCAGGACAGUGCCACAUAUCUCAUCCAGUGUAUCCUUCAAGGAAAUACCUUCUUUUUAAGAUUACUUUCUCAAGCCUCACCAACAGCAAGAUAAAUUAUGUGGUCAGAAGAAGCAGGCACAGAAUUCGAUGAGUCCAGCUGGAACUCUGACUCAGAUGGCUCUUGUUCCAUGGGUCCCUGGGGGUGUCCCAGGAUCUUUUAGAAAAGGCAGGGUAAGAAAAUGGGCUCCUUAUUUGGGUCUUCAUUUAGGUCGUAUCUCUAGAUGCUGCAGAAUUUCAAACUACAAGCAGCAUAUAUUAUUCUUUGUUUAUUUUGUUUGUUUUUUAAAAGGAAUCUCCAAGCCAUUGGUGUACAUCAUCAAAAAAUACUGCAGAAAACAAAACCACCCUAAGGACUAGCGUAUUUAUGUAAUUUUUUCUAUGAGGAAACUUUCACGCCUAUCAUUUUUAUGGCUAGACUUAUCCUAGUUUAUCUGUUAAGAUAAUCACCCUUUAAAAACACCUUUAUGAAAUGUGCCACCUUAAUUGUCAUGUAACAUAUACUGACGUAAGUAUAUAUUCAAAAUUAUAAAGACA